GACGAACGCUGGCGGCGUGCUUAACACAUGCAAGUCGAACGGAAAGGCCCUGCUUUUGUGGGGUGCUCGAGUGGCGAACGGGUGAGUAACAAGUGAGUAACCUGCCCUUGACUUUGGGAUAACUUCAGGAAACUGGGGCUAAUACCGGAUAGGAGCUCCUGCUGCAUGGUGGGGGGUGGAAAGUUUCGGCGGUUGGGGAUGGACUCGCGGCUUAUCAGCUUGUUGGUGGGGUAGUGGCUUACCAAGGCUUUGACGGGUAGCCGGCCUGAGAGGGUGACCGGCCACAUUGGGACUGAGAUACGGCCCAGCAUCCUACGGGAGGCAGCAGUGGUGAAUAUUGCACAAUGGGCGGAAGCCUGAUGCAGCAACGCCGCGGGCGGGAUGACGGCCUUCGGGUUGUAAACCGCUUUCGCCUGUGACGAAGCGUGAGUGACGGUAAUGGGUAAAGAAGCACCGGCUAACUACGUG
rnacentral:rRNA from 1 species